rnacentral:rRNA from 1 species
CACGUAGGGGGCAAGCGUUGUCCGGAUUUAUUGGGCGUAAAGAGCUCGUAGGUGGUUCGGUAAGUCAGGGGUGAAACCUCCAGGCUCAACCUGGAGACGCCACUUGAUACUGCUGUGACUGGAGUCCGGUAGGGGAGCGUGGAAUUCCUGGUGUAGCGGUGAAAUGCGCAGAUAUCAGGAGGAACACCGGUGGCGAAGGCGGGUCUCUGGGCCGUAACUGACGCUGAGGAGCGAAAGCGUGGGGAGCGAACAGG